rnacentral:rRNA from 1 species
AGAGUUUGAUCCUGGCUCAGAACGAACGCUGGCGGCAGGCCUAACACAUGCAAGUCGAACGCUCCCCAAGGAGAGUGGCAGACGGGUGAGUAACACGUGGGAAUCUUCCUAUCGGUACGGAAUAGCUCAGGGAAACUUGAAGUAAUACCGCAUACGCCCUUCGGGGGAAAGAUUUAUCGCCGAUAGAUGAGCCCGCGUCUGAUUAGCUAGUUGGUGGGGUAAUGGCCUACCAAGGCGACGAUCAUUAGCUGGUCUGAGAGGAUGACCAGCCACACUGGGACUGAGACACGGCCCAGACUCCUACGGGAGGCAGCAGUGGGGAAUAUUGGACAAUGGGCGCAAGCCUGAUCCAGCCAUGCCGCGUGAGUGACGAAGGUCUUCGGAUUGUAAAGCUCUUUUGCCAGGGACAAUAAUGACGGUACCUGGAGAAUAAGCCCCGGCUAACUUCGUGCCAGCAGCCGCGGUAAUACGAAGGGGGCUAGCGUUGUUCGGAAUUACUGGGCGUAAAGCGCACGUAGGCGGAUUUGUUAGUCAGGGGUGAAAUCCCGGGGCUCAACCUCGGAACUGCCUUUGAUACUGCAAGUCUAGAGUCCGGAAGAGGUGAGUGGAAUUCCUAGUGUAGAGGUGAAAUUCGUAGAUAUUAAGAAGAACACCAGUGGCGAAGAGCGGCUCACUGGUCCGGUACUGACGCUGAUCGUGCGAAAGCGUGAGGAGCAAACAGGAUUAGAUACCCCUGGUAGUCCACGCCCGUAGACUAUGGAUGCUAGCCGUCUGCAAGCUUGCUUGUCGGUGGCGCAGCU